rfam:Triticum aestivum genome assembly, contig: Triticum_aestivum_CS42_TGACv1_scaffold_035020_1BL
GAUGAAACACAUAUCGACAUCUCAAUGUCCGAAAGCGUUUUCCUUACCCAGCCGAACAGUUCAGGCCAAAUCCUGAAGAAAGCUCAAAAGCGUUGUUUGAUGAGCCUGCAUAGUAUUAGGAAGUUGGUCAAGUAAAGGUUGACCAAGCUAAUGAUGCUUAGCUGGUCUUUUCAGAUGAUCAGCCACACUGGGACUGAGACGCGGCCUGAACUCCCACAGGGG